UACGUAGGGUGCAAGCGUUGCUCGGAAUCAUUGGGCGUAAAGGGUAGGUAGGUGGUCUCAUUUGUCUGGGGUGAAAGCCCAGGGCUUAACCCUGGAAGUGCCCCGGAAACGGUGAGACUGGAGUCUUGGAGAGGGUCGUGGAAUUCCCGGUGUAGCGGUGAAAUGCGUAGAGAUCGGGAGGAACACCAGAGGCGAAGGCGGCUCACUGGUCCGGUACUGACGCUGAGGUGCGAAAGCGUGGGGAGCAAACAGG
rnacentral:rRNA from 1 species